rnacentral:rRNA from 1 species
CCUACGGGAGGCAGCAGUGAGGAAUAUUGGUCAAUGGCCGGAAGGCUGAACCAGCCAUGCCGCGUGAAGGUCAGUGCCCUAUGGGCGUUAAACUUCUUUUGUGCGUGAGCAAUACUGGUCACGUGUGGCCAGACGAGAGUACCCUACGAAUAAGCAUCGGCUAACUCCGUGCCAGCAGCCGCGGUAAUACGGGGGAUGCAAGCGUUAUCCGGAUUUAUUGGGUUUAAAGGGUGCGUAGGCUGUGAGGUAAGUCAGCGGUGAAAUGCCCCCGCUCAACGGGGUGAAGUGCCAUUGAUACUGCCGUGCUGGAAUGCGGAUGCCGUAGGAGGAAUGUGUGGUGUAGCGGUGAAAUGCAUAGAUAUCACACAGAACACCGAUUGCGAAGGCAUCUCACGAAUCCGCGAUUGACGCUGAUGCACGAAAGCGUGGGUAUCAAACAGGAUUAGAUACCCUGGUAGUC